AGUGAACGCUGGCGGUAGGCCUAACACAUGCAAGUCGAACGGCAGCACAGUAAGAGCUUGCUCUUACGGGUGGCGAGUGGCGGACGGGUGAGGAAUACAUCGGAAUCUACUUUUUCGUGGGGGAUAACGUAGGGAAACUUACGCUAAUACCGCAUACGACCUACGGGUGAAAGCAGGGGAUCUUCGGACCUUGCGCGAUUGAAUGAGCCGAUGCCGGAUUAGCUAGUUGGCGGGGUAAAGGCCCACCAAGGCGACGAUCCGUAGCUGGUCUGAGAGGAUGAUCAGCCACACUGGAACUGAGACACGGUCCAGACUCCUACGGGAGGCAGCAGUGGGGAAUAUUGGACAAUGGGCGCAAGCCUGAUCCAGCCAUACCGCGUGGGUGAAGAAGGCCUUCGGGUUGUAAAGCCCUUUUGUUGGGAAAGAAAAGCAGCGGGUUAAUACCCCGCUGUUCUGACGGUACCCAAAGAAUAAGCACCGGCUAACUUCGUG
rnacentral:rRNA from 1 species